UAGAAAGACGGGACUUGAACCCACACCUAAAGACUCAAAACCUUUAGCACUCCGUUAUGCUACUUCCU
rnacentral:tRNA from 1 species